GACGUAGGGCGCGAGCGUUGUCCGGAUUUAUUGGGCGUAAAGAGCUCGUAGGCGGCUUGUCGCGUCGACUGUGAAAUCCCGCGGCUCAACUGCGGGUCUGCAGUCGAUACGGGCAGGCUAGAGUUCGGUAGGGGAGACUGGAAUUCCUGGUGUAGCGGUGAAAUGCGCAGAUAUCAGGAAGAACACCGGUGGCGAAGGCGGUGGGCUGGGCCGGCACUGACGCUGAGGUGCGAAAGCGUGGGGAGCAAACAGG
rnacentral:rRNA from 1 species